GCACUUUAAGCAGUGAAGAAGACUCCGUGGUUAAUACCCACGGACGAUGACAUUAGCUGCAGAAUAAGCACCGGCUAACUCUGUGCCAGCAGCCGCGGUAAUACAGAGGGUGCAAGCGUUAAUCGGAAUUACUGGGCGUAAAGGGAGCGUAGGUGGCUCUAUAAGUCAGAUGUGAAAUCCCCGGGCUCAACCUGGGAACUGCAUCUGAUACUGUUGAGCUAGAGUAUGUGAGAGGAAGGUAGAAUUCCAGGUGUAGCGGUGAAAUGCGUAGAGAUCUGGAGGAAUACCGAUGGCGAAGGCAGCCUUCUGGCAUAAUACUGACACUGAGGCUCGAAAGCGUGGGUAGCAAACAGGAUUAGAUACCCUGGUAGUCCACGCCGUAAACGAUGUCUACUAGUCGUUGG
rnacentral:rRNA from 1 species